GGUGGACCCUAGGAUAUACAUGCACUUUUCUCAAAAAAUGCUCCAUCUGUAAAGGAGUGCUGUCAGGGUGCAAGAUUGUGUUGGAUUUAUUCUUGGUGAGGUUUUGGUAAUGGAUGAGGGGGCUGUUGGUGUGUGUCCUUGAAGAAGCUUUGUGAAGCUCUCCUGGCUGCAAGUCAGACCCAUCUCUGGCAAAGGAUAAGUCAAUCAAUGCCUCUGCAAUAACAUGUUUAAGAAAGGAAAACUUGAUGAUCAAUUUCCUUUCUUUUGGGAGCUCUUUUGUGUUGCAGAGGUGUAGGACAAGGACAACCUUGUAGAUGUGCAUAUUAGGGAGGAAGGAAUGGAGAAGACACUUUGGAGUAGCCACGCUUCUUUGGCCUGUGGUGAAAUCUGCGCUGAACUUUUGCACCUCUUGGAGACCAGUGCUGGAGAAGAAUCCUGACUUCAGCCCAUGAAGGAUUCCAUGUUCAAGCUGAUCCUGUAGACAUCCAUGACUGAGGAAGACUCACACUGAGCAGUCCAUCACUGAAAGUACUGAAGUCUGUGGAAGGAACCCAUAUUGAGAGAAAUUUGUAGAGAAAUCUCUUCUGUAGGAGGGACAUGACAAUGCUACAGGAGAAGGCUAUGAGAAGUUCUCCCACAUGAAUAGGAAGGAGAGGCAAAGCCAACAUAGAACAAACUACAGUUGACUGCAACUCACAUUUCCUGCCCCCAAGCACUGCUGGCAGAGGAGGAGGUGGCAGAGCAGACAGUAGGAAGGGAGUGAUGGGUGGCAGGAGUUGUACAUAUUAUUGUCCUUCUCUGACUGAGUUGGUGAAUUGGUGGUGAUAUUGUUGAAAUUAAAUUGAUUUUAUUUCCUUAAA